GGCUCAGGAUGAACGCUGGCGGCGUGCCUAACACAUGCGAAGUCGAACGGAGAUUAACGCUGAUGAAGCUUCGGCAGAAUCUUGUUAAAUCUUAGUGGCGGACGGGUGAGUAACGCGUGGGCGAACCUGCCUCGUACUGGGGAUAACAGUUGGAAACGACUGUUAAUACCGCAUAAGCGCAACGGUAUCGCAUGAUACAGGUGUGAAAAACUCCGGUGGUACGAGAUGGGCCCGCGUCAGAUUAGCCAGUUGGCGGGGUAACGGCCCACCAAAGCGACGAUCUGUAGCCGGACUGAGAGGUCGGACGGCCACAUUGGGACUGAGACACGGCCCAAACUCCUACGGGAGGCAGCAGUGGGGGAUAUUGCACAAUGGGCGAAAGCCUGAUGCAGCGACGCCGCGUGAGUGAAGAAGUAUUUCGGUUAUGUAAAGGCUCUAUCAGCAGGGAAGAAAGACUCGUAAGAGAGAUGACGGUACCUGACUAAGAAGCCCCGGCUAACUACGUGCCAGCCGCCGC
rnacentral:rRNA from 1 species